AUAUUUACAAUUGAAGAAGGGAUGCUAAUUUGAGCCAUCAGAGUCGUCAGUUUGGACUCAGGGUCUUUUGACCCUGUUUCGGUACGUCAGGGGAGAGGUCGAAAACCCUGGUACUCCCAGUUAAAGGGUUUUUGUUUGCUUUGCAGUCAGCAGCCUUCCCA